rnacentral:rRNA from 1 species
CUACGGGUGGCACCAGUGAGGAAUAUUGCACAAUGGGGGGAACCCUGAUGCAGCAACGCCGCGUGGAGGAUGACGCAUUUCGGUGUGUAAACUCCUUUUAUAUGUCAAGAAAAUGACGGUAGCAUAUGAAUAAGCACCGGCUAACUCCGUGCCAGCAGCCGCGGUAAUACGGAGGGUGCAAGCGUUACUCGGAAUCACUGGGCGUAAAGGACGCGUAGGCGGGCUUGUAAGUCAGGUGUGAAAUCCUACAGCUUAACUGUAGAACUGCACUUGAAACUACGAGCCUAGAGUAUGGGAGGGGCAGAUGGAAUUAGUGGUGUAGGGGUAAAAUCCGUAGAUAUCACUAGGAAUACCUAAAGCGAAGGCGAUCUGCUGGAACAUAACUGACGCUAAGGCGUGAAAGCGUGGGGAGCAAACAGGAUUAGAUACCCGAGUAGUC